rnacentral:RNase_P_RNA from 1 species
CAAGUUAGUCGAAUGGCCGCAUCGCAAGAUGAGGAAAGUCCGAGCAUCGCAGGGCAAGGGUGCAGGGUAACUCCCUGUAAAGGCGACUUUAAGGAAAGUGCAACAGAAAAUAACCGCCCGCAAGGGUAAGGGUGAAAAGGUGAGGUAAGAGCUCACCGGCGACCCGGCGACGGCAAGCCGUGUAAACCCCACUCGAUGCAAGAGAGUAAGGACAGAUGGGUAGCCCGCCCGUCCUUCAAAUCGCUUGAGCGUAUAGGCAACUAUGCGCCUAGACAGAUGGCCAUUUAAGACAGAACUCGGCUUACAGACUAACCUUGCUAC